GAUUUCUUGAGAAUCUGGCUCAAGGGACUCGAAGCUGCACGUGUUCUUGGGAAAAAUAUCUAAAAGCAUCACCUUUUGCUUUGUCUGCUGGUGCUUAAGAACUGCUGUGUAAGAAGUCUGACUACCUUUCUAGAGGGGCAAUGCGGAAAGACACUAACACAGGAUGAAAAGGGAGAAGAGCCCAGCCAAGAUCAGCCUUCCAGCUGUUCCUGCCAAGGCACAGGGAAGUGAAUGAAAAAGUCAGUUUGAAAAUG
rnacentral:lncRNA from 1 species